rnacentral:rRNA from 1 species
UAAUACGUAGGGGGCUAGCGUUGUCCGGAAUCAUUGGGCGUAAAGCGCGUGUAGGCGGCUUGGUAAGUCCGUUCUGAAAGCCCGGGGCUCAACCCCGGGAGGCGGAUGGAUACUGUCAAGCUCGAGUCCGGAAGAGGCAAGUGGAAUUCCCGGUGUAGCGGUGAAAUGCGCAGAUAUCGGGAGGAACACCAAUGGCGAAGGCAGCUUGCUGGGACGGUACUGACGCUGAGACGCGAAAGCGUGGGGAGCAAACAGGAUUAGAUACCCUGGUAGUCCACGCCGUAAACGAUGGACACUAGGUGUGGGGGGUGUCGACUCCCUCCGUGCCGAAGCUAACGCAUUAAGUGUCCCGCCUGGGGAGUACGGCCGCAAGGCUA